ACGAAAGAUUCCAUUUCAUUUAUUAUUUACUAGCUGGGUUUGCCAUUAAGCCCCCUCUUAUAUAAAACCAAAAAUAAUGCAAAUGAAAAUCUCUUCAGUAUAAGACUAAAGCAUACAUCAGUCGCCAGAUUAUAUGAGCGUAGCCAAGAGGGGUUUAAGUUUAAAAGUUUUCAGUUUAAAAUCCCGCCAGAAUGUAAUAAAGAUAACUUAUGCCCCCUCACACACACACGCAUAUAUAUAUAUAUAUAUAUAUAU